GAUGAACGCUGACAGAAUGCUUAACACAUGCAAGUCGAUGGGGAAGUGGUGCUUGCACCAUGGUAACCAUGGCGGACGGGUGAGUAACGCGUAAGGAACUUACCUGCGGGACCGGGAUAACAGCAGGAAACUGCUGACAAGACCGGAUAAGGUCAUUAAGCUGCAUAGCUUAGUGAUGAAAGGAGACGCCUGCGGAGAGCCUUGCGUCCUAUUAGCUAGUUGGAGGGGUAACGGCCCACCAAGGCGAAGAUAGGUAGCCGGCCUGAGAGGGUGGACGGCCACAAGGGGACUGAGAUACGGCCCUUACUCCUACGGGAGGAGGCAGUGGGGAAUAUUGGACAAUGGGGGCAACCCUGAUCCAGCAAUUCUGUGUGCACGAAGACGGUUUUCGGAUUGUAAAGUGCUUUCAGCAGGGAAGAAGGAAGUGACGGUACCUGCAGAAGAAGCGACGGCUAAAUACGUG
rnacentral:rRNA from 1 species